AAGAGACCCGUGGCUUAUUUAUCAAAGAUGUUGGAUCCAGUAAAUCAAGGCUGGCCAGUGUGUGUUCAAGCUAUAGCAGCUACUGCAAUCCUGGUAGAGAAAAGUCAUAAACUGACUUUUGGAGGUAAAUCAAUUGUGUGCACACCUCAUGCAGUAUGAAAUUUCUUCCGAUUUGCAUUGUGAUUUUUAUCUUGAAAUACAUAACUUACUGUACUCUAGGACUGAGAAACUAGUUUACAGCUGUGACAUAGCAAAACCUGCCAUUAAUUUAUUUUGAGUUGAUGCAGGCUGUUCACUCAAGUGGUUCUCAGUGUGUAAAGUUAAACUAAAGGUAACACCAGCUGCUUGGUAGGUCAAUGAGAAACAUUUUUUCUUCCAGCCAGUCCUUUUUCAUGUACCCAAAUGUGUUUUGCUUUCUUCGUUUUUUUGGUUUGUUUGUUUGUUAUUUUUUCUGGAAGUGCUAACUACUUGCAGUGUAGCUGGAACAGCAGCUAGAGUUGUUCAUGCAUGAGACUUCUGAAAAAUAGGGCUCAUUUUUUCCCCAGACUUGGAGGUGGCUACAUAUAGAAAAGGGAACCUACAAAGCGAGGUGAAGAAAAGGUUUCAGUAUCUUCUAAUGUAAGCUGUUAAUUUUUUUACUUUCGGCAUCACUGUGGGUGUGUGACACAUACACAUUAAAAAGAUGGUGGGGGGAUCUCUGCUUGCUGUAGGUUUAUUUCUUGAAUGAGUUAGAGAGCUGUGAGGAAGUUUUGGGCUCCCUGUGUGGAUUACCCAGGCCUGCAGGGAGGGCUUGGCCAUGAUUCCCUCUGUGCUGCAGGCAGCCCUGCAGCGUGGCAGCAGUGGCUUGCCUCUGGUGAGUUUGCAGGCAGGGUGCUCCAGCACUGCAGUGCUCAGGGGCAGUUUCCUAUUAUGACAUUAAGGCUUGAAUUCAGGAGCGCCUCUUCCCACCCAGUUAUUGUUUGUACCACAGGAGCCUCUUUAGAGAGUGUUUCCUGGCAGUCAAAAAGAGAGUAUUGCAGAGAAAAAUUCCUCACUUGCUGUCCUCCCCCUGCCCUCAACUCUAUUCAUAUUUUGUCCAUUCCCUCUUCAAAAUACAGAUUUGUAAAACUCAUGCUCUGUGUCCUCAGAUGCCCUUCCCAAAUCAAACCUUGGCUUCGUUGCAAAUUGCAUUGCACUAACUAGCAUUGCCUUAAAUUUGUUUUGGUGCAGGCAGGGUCACUUUGGAAGUAAGUUGUUGUUUACUUUGUUCCUGCAACCUUUUCAAGCUUGUGAAUGGAAAAAUUGUGAUAGCAAACCAAGUCUUUAUUUUUGCACUGUCAGCUGUGAGUGGCUGGUAGCCUUGGUGGAGGGUGCCGUGAAUUACAGGCCUGCAGAACACGCAUAACAAAAGUAAUUUACUUUGUAAGGAAGUUGAAAAAGGGGGGAGAGGUGAUUGGCAGACUCACCUCUCCAGGAUGUAGGAUUAAUGUUAGAAAGUGGACUGAUAUUGGAAUGUGGCUGCUGAAAUGUGAAGA
rnacentral:lncRNA from 1 species